rnacentral:rRNA from 1 species
AGCGAACGCUGGCGGCAGGCCUAACACAUGCAAGUCGAACGAACCCUUCGGGGUUAGUGGCGGACGGGUGAGUAACACGUGGGAGCGUGCCUUUAGGUUCGGAAUAACUCAGGGAAACUUGUGCUAAUACCGAAUGUGCCCUUCGGGGGAAAGAUUUAUCGCCUUUAGAGCGGCCCGCGUCUGAUUAGCUAGUUGGUGAGGUAAUGGCUCACCAAGGCUACGAUCAGUAGCUGGUCUGAGAGGAUGACCAGCCACAUUGGGACUGAGACACGGCCCAAACUCCUACGGGGGGCAGCAGUGGGGAAUCUUGCGCAAUGGGCGAAAGCCUGACGCAGCCAUGCCGCGUGGAUGAUGAAGGCCUUAGGGUUGUAAAGCUCUUUUACCCGGGAUGAUAAUGACAGUACCGGGAGAAUAAGCCCCGGCUAACUCCGUGCCAGCCGCCGCAGUAAUAC